UCCUGCUGUCGAGCAGAGCCUGGAUCUUCCAUUCCUGUGGUCCCCGGACAAUGGCGUAUAUUGGAGCAACCCCACAAAGAAAGGACCACAGAGGACUCAGAUCCUAUAGGAAUAAGGCCGAAACCACGCUCCAGAUGUCUUGCUGCAAACAGCGAGGGAACGCUGCAUCAAUCAAGGACCCCAUGAAUGCCAACUUGGGCCUUAAUUAUUAAUACGUUUUUGUGCGUGUCUGCACCACUGGAGAUAAGGAUUUUCCCUGGAGAAGGUCAGGCCUGAGGCGUGGAUGGCAGGUGAUCUGGAGUGUGGUGGACGUUGCAGUUAACUCCUGCAGACCCGCUGCCCCUCUGAACCCCAUUCUCCCUGCCCUGUCAUGCCAAAAUGACCUAAGUGGACUCCCGGUGGCUCCUGGGCACUGUCUUCUUGUUCAGCUUGGCUAAUGAGAGACUUCAGGAGGAGCUGAGAGGAUGGAAAAGAACAAGAUUGGAUUACAUAUUAUCCCAGUCUGUCCUGUGCUGGCUUGCUGCAGACUGACCGCAGCUAUCAUCAAAGGCAAUACUUCCUGCCAGGGAGCCAAGGGAACGGUGUCAAAUGCACUGGCUUUAUUAUGAUAUGCUUAUCACUUAAUUAUUCUCUCUAUCCUAGUAUAAAAUGUUCUCUCCCCCUCUCUCAAGAUUCGCUUAUUUCUUAUUUUAUGUGUAUGGGUGUUUGCCUGCAUGUGUG